rnacentral:misc_RNA from 1 species
GCAAACUUGGUCAUUUAGAGGAAGUACAAGUCGUAACAAGGUAUCCGUAGGUGAACCUGCGGAUGGAUCAUUGAAGGAUUUGGGUUUUUUUGUGGGGUGUGGAAUUGUUUUUGGCAUGGGUGGGAUAUUUGAUUAGUUGGCGGUAGGAGGGAUAUCUGCGGUUUGGGGUACUUUGGCGCUGUUGAAGUUACUCUGCACCGUUGGAGUUACUCUGCACCGUUGGAGUCCUUCUUCUCAUAAAAACUCUUGAAAUCUCCCGCCCUGCCAUAUUGCUUGUCUUCAAUACUGACUUGAUAUCAAUCAAUUACAACUUUUAGCAACGGAUCUCUUGGCUCUCGCAUCGAUGAAGAACGCAGC